rnacentral:rRNA from 1 species
UUGACCUCGGAUCAGGUAGGGAUACCGC